GCCCGGGUGGUGGAAUUGGCAGACACAAGGGACUUAAAAUCCCUCGACCGUAAGGUUGUACGGGUUCGACCCCCGUCCCGGGCA
rnacentral:tRNA from 1 species